CUCCCGCUCUGGAUCCCUGGGCGCGAGGGUGACUAGUGGGUCCGCCGGCGAGUUCUCGGGGAAGUGCGGUGUUUUUUUUUUACCUGCUCAGAAAAUUUUCUCCACCCAUCUUUGUAAGGGUAAUAUCCCGUCGUCCAGACGCGGACUUGUCUUCUAAUUUGCACUUAGUAAAAGUUUUUUCCUCAGCGUUAUUUCUCCGGGACUGGCGCUAGGAAGGCAAGCUAGGAGACUCUCCGUUUUCCAUUGGUUCUAGAGGUUGUCGUACUAGGCCUUUGUGGUCUCUGAUUGGUCCCUUAAAACGAGACCGCAUUUGCUCCACCGGUCGGCCCCGGCUGUGCUGGGCGGGGAACGCGCUCUCGAACACACUUGGUUAGCCCAUUUUACAGCAUCUGAGUUUUGAGCUCUAAGGGCGGGGUGACCCGUCUGGAAUCGCACUGCAAGCUCACAGCCCUGCUGGUUUCCCUCGUGUCUCGGACGUAGCCAUCAUCAGCCUUCACCCGCCUCCCUGCACGUUUCCCUCUUUGUGGUCUCGUGAAGAGCACUGACAUUUGGAGUCACCUAGAGGUUGCUAUGUACAUGGCAAUCCCACGUUCGCCGUAGGUGUUCACAAAGGUAGCACGGUCCAGGCCUCUGGCCCAAGAAAACUGAGCAGGACUUGGCAGCCCUCUUACAGAGAGCCAGUGGCUACACUUAACAAAAAAAACUAAGUAACAUUGGCUACAGAAGAGGAAACGAUGUCAAAUAUUGUCACUGCAGGGAGUGCUGGGCCAUCAACAUUCUGUGGAGUCUUGCUGCUGAUCUUACUCAUCUCUAUGGAUAUUUUGGAAGAACAACUCAAAGAAAUUAAUGCUCAACAUGAGAGCUCAUUUCCUUGGACAACUACAAUUGUGGCACAUAAAGAUCACUGCUCAUUCUAAAAUUGUGGAGGUUUCUGUAGGCUAAGAAUUGAUUCUUGGUGCAGAAGAUGUGGCUUUCUUGCCACCUGGUGGCUGUCAGUGUUAUUACAGUGGUAGAUUAAUGCCUUCAGCUUCCUGGUGCAUGUAUCUAUGAAGAUCAGAGAUAGAAGACCAUUGAAUAUCGCCAAAUCCAAAUCUUUGAAUUGCCAAGCCCUUCCUCACCCAGAGAUUUUAUGGCCCUUACUUGAACACCUAACCAGGCAGCUAAGUCCAUUCUUGGAUAUCUCUAACUGCUGCUGUGCACAGAAGCAGAUGUGGACCAGUAAUAAGCCUGUGAUGAAGGACUCUGGGCAGAGAAAGUGCUGAGUACCCCAUCACUGAAGGGAGUAAUAAUACCAUUUGGUUGAGAUAUUGAAGAAAUGAGUGAAUAGAUGGUGAUAAUGAUGGUGAUGAUGAAGAUGAUGAUGACGAUGACAUCCUGUCUACCUGCGUUCCUUGUCACAUGCUCUGGUUUACACACCAGGCUCCGGUAAACUUUGUCGGUACGGGGCAGCAUCUCUGCACCUAAUGUACCCUGGCGCCCUCAACAAGAUCUCACCAGUUUAAACUCAGAAUUAAGGCCUUGGUGAACUCACCUGGGUUCUAUAAUCUUCUCUACCUACACUUGCUCUCUGACUGUGGCUUCAAAUACUACUUAUAUGCUAAUGAUUCCCAGGUUCAUAUCUCUAGUUAUGACCUUUCUGUUGAGUUCCAGACUCUUCAUCUAUCCUAUUGAUUCACUCUUCAAAACAUAUUCUAAAUCUUUCUCCAUCUCCAGUAUUAGAGUUCAUCUUUCCUGCUGCCCUCCAACUUCUUUUUUGAGCAUUUAGCUUAUUUGUAUUAAAUCUUUCUGGUUUUACGAGAAAUACUUUUUAAACUAUACGUUUUCCCUCCAGGUAUUGCUUUAGCCUGUUCUUCCAAAUUUUGACAUGUAGUACUUUGUUGCUUAGUUCUUAUAAUCUAUUUAUUAAUCCAUAGGUUAUUUAGUAGUUUAUUAUUUAGUUUCCAGAUGUGAGAAUUUGUCAGUUAUCUUUUCUUGAUUUUAUUGCAUAUGGUCAGAGAAGAGAGACUAAUUGAUAUUAAUCUUUUGAAAUUUAUUUUGGUUUAAUUGUCAGUUUUUGUAAAUGUCCCAUGUGUGCUUGAAAAGAAUGUUGACUGAUUGUAGU